rnacentral:rRNA from 1 species
UGGGGAAUAUUGCACAAUGGGGAAAGCCCUGAUGCAGCGACGCCGCGUGAGUGAAGAAGUAUCUCGGUAUGUAAAGCUCUAUCAGCAGGGAAGAAAAUGACGGUACCUGACUAAGAAGCCCCGGCUAACUACGUGCCAGCAGCCGCGGUAAUACGUAGGGGGCAAGCGUUAUCCGGAUUUACUGGGUGUAAAGGGAGCGUAGACGGCGGAGCAAGUCUGAAGUGAAAGGCAGGGGCUCAACCCCUGGACUGCAUUGGAAACUGUUGAUCUUGAGUACCGGAGGGGUAAGCGGAAUUCCUAGUGUAGCGGUGAAAUGCGUAGAUAUUAGGAGGAACACCAGUGGCGAAGGUGGCUUACUGGACGGUAACUGACGUUGAGGCUCGAAAGCGUGGGGAGCAAACAGGAUUAGAUACC